GUGCUUGCUACGGCUGCACAUAUACUAAAAUUGGAUCGAUACAGAGAAGAUUAGCAUGGCCCCUGCGAAAGGAUGACACUGCAAAUCCGUGAAGCGUUCCAUAUUUUG
ensembl:snRNA U6 U6 spliceosomal RNA